rnacentral:lncRNA from 1 species
UUUGGUAUUAGGUGAUAUUUGUGGUUUUGAGGGUGUCAUUUGAGUUGGGUAUGUUCUCUUCAAUUUAUUGGUGUUCAUAUGAAUUUGGUAUGUGGGUUGGUAGUAAAUAUAUGUAUCUAGGCUUGAAUUAUGGAUCUAUAUACAAAGUUCUUGUGAUGCUGAACAUUAAAUUUUAGGAAUUUAGUUUGUGAAGUUGUCUAUGGAAACUUGGUUGUGUUAUAAUGAUUUUGAGUCCGAUUCUAGUAAUC